rnacentral:tRNA from 1 species
GGAGAGAUGUCCGAGUGGCUGAAGGAGCACGCCUGGAAAGUGUGUAUACGUUCAUAGCGUAUCGAGGGUUCGAAUCCCUCUCUCUCCGCCA